rnacentral:rRNA from 1 species
CAAAAACAUAGCUUUUUGGUGAAAGUAAAAAGUAGGGUCUGCCCAGUGAGUAAUUUUAACGGCCGCAAUAUUUGUGCGAAGGUAGCAUAAUCAUUUGUCUUUUAAUUGAUGACUGGAAUGAAUGGCUGGACGGGGAUAAGCUGUCUUAUGUAUAUAUAUUUGAAAUUUACUUUUAAGUAAAAAGGCUUAAAUAUUUUAGAGGGACGAGAAGACCCUAUUGAGUUUAAUAGAAUUUAUUUAAAUUUUUCUUAAAUUUUUAUGUAAUCUAUUUAGUUGGGGAGAUUUGAUAUUAUUAACUAUAUAAGAAUUAAUAGACUUUAAGUUUUUAGGAUCCAUAUUUUAUGAGUGUUAAGGUAAAUUACCUUAGGGAUAACAGCGUAAUAUUUUUUUAGAGUUCAAAUCGAUUAAAAUGAUUACGACCUCGAUCUGCGAUUAAGGAACCUAGUUUGGAGAAGAUCUUAAUUUAGGUAGUCUGUUCGACUAUCAAAUCUUUAC